rnacentral:rRNA from 1 species
GAUGAACGCUGGCGGCGUGCCUAAUACAUGCAAGUCGAGCGAACAGACGAGGAGCUUGCUCCUCUCACGUUAGCGGCGGACGGGUGUGUAACACGUGGAUACCCUCCCUAUAAGACUGGGAUCACUUCGGGAAACCGGAGCUAAUACCGGAUAAUAUAUUGAACCGCAUGGUUCAAUAGUGAAAGACGGUUUUGCUGUCACUUAUAGCUGGAUCCGCGCCGCAUUAGCUAGUUGGUAAGGUAACGGCUUACCAAGGCUACGAUGCGUAGCCGACCUGAGAGGGGGAUCGGCCACACGGGAGGUGAGACACGGACCAGAGUCCUACGGGAGGCAGCAGUAGGGAAUCUGCCGCAAUGGGCGAAAGCCUGACGGAGCAACGCCGAGUGAGUGAUGAAGGUCUUCGGAGCGUAAAACUCUGUUAUUAGGGAAGAACAAAUGUGUAAGUAACUAUGCACGUCUUGACGGUACCGAAUCAGAAAGCCACGGCUAACUACGUG